CUUGACUUUUCUCCUCUUCCGACAUUUCCGUUUUCUUCCAUUUGAUAAGGUAGAACGGAUCUCACGUUUGAUUAUAGCUACACAGUCACACUGUAGUACGCCUCCCACACCGUCCACACAACCGAUUAAGUGACGCUCGUCUGUUCGAGUCGUCUCUGCAAUUUUGUUUUCUUCAAUCGUUUCCUCUUCUUCCAUAUUUAAAAAAAACGCUGCUUUAUAAUCGAGGGUAAACCUGGAAGAAUUUUGAGGAGGAACUGGGGAUUCUGUUACCUGCUUUUUUUUUUUUUUCUUUGGAUAGGUUUGAUGUGAAAAUCGAGAAGACACUGGUGAGGAAGGAUGGGCGUAAUUUGAAUGUCUGCAAAUUAGGUUUCGAUAUAUUGAGUUCCUCUUUUGUUUCCAUUGAAUCCUGUUGAAGCCAUGGAAGUUUACAAAAGAUGGGUCAGGAAGAACAAGGAUUACGUGCAUCAAAUGGAAUCUCUGGCCAGUGGUUUGACAUGGUUUCUUCCCGAACGAUUCUCUAAUUCAGAAAUAGGGCCUGAAGCAGUGACCACAAUUUUGGGUAUUCUCACUGCUAUCAAUGAACAUAUAAUCGAUACAACCCCUACCCGAAGUCGUGCUAGCCCUGCAGAGCGCUCUUCAUUCCCUUGGCCCUUGUGGAUAUCUAUGCUAAAAGACUUGGAGGCAUUGGUUGAAGUCGCGGCACAGCAGUACUAUGGCGAUGAUAAGAAAUGGCAUUUCAUUGCCAUUACAGAAGCUACCAAGGUGCUAGUUAGGUUGUCAUCGUUCAGGGACAGUGGAUACAAGAUGCUCCUACAGGGAGGGGAGAGUCCAAAUGUGGAAAGCGAUCCAAAUACUUUGGGUUCCUACAACAGAAUGGGAAAUUUGACAAAUGGUGUGAAUCAUGGACCUGGUUAUUUUCAGCACCAUAAUGGGCACAACAUACGGAAUCUUGAAGGGCGGGCUUUGACUGCACUGAACAGGUUUGGGCAGAAUGCUAGGAUGGAAUCUAACCCGACAUGGUUGAAAAGGCACCAGCAAGAUCCUGCCAUGACCGUAUACCCUCCAACUCCACCAAAUGAGAGGCCUACCCUCUCCACCAUUGUUUCUGAGAAAGGACUUCAUGGGGGCUUAUUUGUGAUGGCAGAGGUGCUAUUUAUUACAAGACCUCUUAUAUAUGUUCUAUUAAUUAGAAAAUAUGGAGUUCGGUCCUGGAUGCCUUGGCUUGUUUCACUGGCGGUGGACCUUACUGGAAUGGGCUUUCUUUCCUAUGUUACACGUCCACAAAGUAAUGGAAGUGCCAAACAUUUCCCUCUUUCAACCUCUGAACAGAAUGAGAUUAAAAGGCGAAAGCUGUUAUGGGCACUUUACAUCAUGAGAGAUCCAUUCUUCAGCAAGUAUACCAGGCAAAGACUUGAUAACACUGAGAAAUUGUUGGAACCUAUUCCUGUUAUUGGGGUUCUUACGGCUAAGCUUAUUGAGCUUAUUGUUGGAGCUCAGUCACGUUAUACUUACAUGUCAGGAUCAUAAGAAAUAACUUGCGUUAACACUUGCUUCUCGUAGAUGUCUACAUUUUUCUUGUUUUCAGCUGUUCUGAAGAAGAUAAACAGGUGCCCAAUUUUUCCUGAAGAAGACGAUUAUAGUGCUUGUGGAAAUCUAGUAACAAUGCUCAUUGGAGAGAUCAACCUCUUUUCUGUCUUAGUUCAUCUACUUUUCUGGCCUCAGUUGGGUGGUUCUUGUCACGUAAUAUUUGGACAGCAUUGCUGGAGAAUGUUUUAGAAAGAAUAACCAGUUAAUAAGAGGUCAGAAGUUUGUUUAAUUCUUAUUCUAUUCCUGGAUUAUAGUUUAACUCCAAACCAUUUGUUGAAUUUUAAAUUUGUAGCAUUGAAGAUACUUGUGUUCUUUAUGGGGUGUGGUAGAUUAUCAAAUAUGUUGGUAUUUGAGAGAUUUGGAAGCUUAUAGGAAGAGGAGACCGUAUGGAAGAUGAUUCUAUUUGCAAUUUGUUGGAGUUUGGGGAAGGAGCAGCGGACCAAAUCUUUGUGAUCAAAGUUGAUCUAUUUAGAUUUUUGCCUCAACCAAAGUAGAGUUAAUCCAUUGGUCUUACUUUUUGCAAAAUUAUGAAGUACUUAAAUAUUCUUUUUCCUGGUCUAGAGUCUGUCCUCAAUGAGAAGUUAGCUAUUAAGGCAAUAGCAGCAAUGAGACAAGGAAAAGUUUACUGAGGUGGUUCAGCCACAGAGAUUAAAGAUAAAUGGCAUCACAUGCCAAGCAAUCAGAACUUGGUGGGUUUUGGUGGUGCAUUUAGAGACACAACAGAGAAUACAUUAUUGCAUUUUCUGAGCUAAUCAGCAUGGCAGACUCGACUGUGCCUGGGCUUAAAGUAAUUAUGUAUUUGAUCCUAGGCUCUUACUUUGUUGGAUGCUCUCAUUUGGAGGUGGAAGUGGAUAGGCUUGGUGAAAUUUUCCAUAUUGUCCGGGCUUGUGUAAAUUUUGAAACUCACUAGGUGUGCCAGAUCCUCUUGCAUCUCCAUGAACAAUCUAUUGGAAAGCUAUACCUAGGAAUACGAUGGUUGAUGUUUAGUGGAAGAAUGGCACUUUGAGGGAUUGCGUAGAUGGAGGUCCGUAUUCCAAUGUGUAGCACUUUCAAGUUCUUUCUGUUUGUCUUGUGUUUUCAGAAAGGCAUCACAAGAGUGAUAGUAUGCCAGUAUAAGGCUCUAAAAGGAAAUGGGAAGGUCAAAAGACAAGGAUCAAGGGCAAAAAGAUACAAAAUCACUUCAAAUUAGGCAGAGGACAUGGCUCAAAUGGUAGAACAGGACUUUUGUAAGCAACCCAAAUUUAUGUGCAAGGCUUUCCUCAAGUUAAGUUGGUAUUCCAGAUUUAGGUCAACUAAAUUGUAGCUUUUGAUUUCCAGAGGAAGCCACAAAUGGUGCUUCAAUUUCUGAGCUGAUAACGAUUUAGGGUUUGGCCACUUCCUUUUUGAUGUUUUGAUACAAUUAUAGCAUUAUUCAUGAUAAAUGAGCACUGAUCUCAGUUAUGGUCGAUAGAGAAGCGUUGGUGAGAGGGAGUAAAGAGAAGCGAUAUUGGCAUAUUAUUGUUCGAAAGAGGGAAGAAGAAAAUGGCCUAAAAGACAACACAUGUUCUAUGUAUGAAGAAGAAGGGAAAAUCAAACCAAACACAUCCAGAGAGUGCAAAUUUGAGUUCAGAUGUUUGCCACUGCUUGGUAAUUAUUUGAAGUUCAUUUGAUGCACCAGAUGAGGUGAAACGGAUAACAUAGAAUGCCCAAAUUCAGAUUUUUGUGUCCAAGGUAAGCAGUUAGCUACUUGGGACAGCAGUUUCAUUUGCUGCAAGUUUGGGACAGUUGAAGUGGAAAAACUAGAGGAAUAGAAGAGGCAACUGCAAGACAUGAAAAAUGCACUGAUUUUUCUGCUGAUUGACUUUUAAGGUGGUAAUUUUACUCAAGACCAUGGGAGGAGCAGGGGAGCCUCAAAUUUGUGUCCUCUAUUUCACAAAAAUUGUUUGUUCUGGAACUAUAGCUUUUCUGAUAUGGGGUUUGCGAUGGUACUGUGUUAAUGGCUUUGUACUGGUUGACAUUCCAUGUUAUUCAUGGGAAUUCUACUUUUGAUGGUACUGUGUUAAUGGCUUUGUACUGGUUGACAUUCCAUGUUAUUCAUGGGAAUUCUACUUUUGAUUCUUUC